rnacentral:rRNA from 1 species
UACGGAGGGGGCUAGCGUUGUUCGGAAUUACUGGGCGUAAAGCGUACGUAGGCGGCUUUGUAAGUUAGAGGUGAAAGCCCGGGGCUCAACUCCGGAAUUGCCUUUAAGACUGCAUCGCUUGAAUCAUGGAGAGGUGAGUGGAAUUCCGAGUGUAGAGGUGAAAUUCGUAGAUAUUCGGAAGAACACCAGUGGCGAAGGCGACUCACUGGACAUGUAUUGACGCUGGGGUACGAAAGCGUGGGGAGCAAACAGG